rnacentral:tRNA from 6 species
GGCUCGAUAGCUCAGUCGGUAGAGCAGAGGACUGAAAAUCCUCGUGUCGGCAGUUCGAUUCUGUCUCGAGCCACCA